UUGGAUUCCCAUCGAACGGUUGGCUUCAGUUUUUUUUACACGCAAGCAAUCACGGUUUGCUGAAAAAAAUCCCCAAAUUGUUGGCACUUAAUGUCUGCAGUUACUCACCUGCCACCCGUAACGCCUCCAGUAAUUGCGUUUUGCGAGCGAACUCAUCCCCACCGCCGUGUGACCCUCCCAUCCUCGUCGAACCGCUCCCCGUCGGCCACAGCUUUCCUCCCCUCGAUUAAAUCCUGCAAUCGCAUCGCAAUCUAGGUUCCAGGUUUAUCACCGGCGGCUGUCGCUGGAUUUCUCCCUCACCGUCCGACACGCAUGGGCUUCCUCCGGCUUCAUUGACUGGUGGCGGACGAAGUAGGGGUUGGAGGCUCUCAGAUUUGGACGAAGCUCAGAGCUGGAGGCUGCUUCCACCGACCGCAGUUACUGAUUCGGCCCCUUCAGCAGCUACGCAACCUGGGAAGAAGCUACAAUGUCAUUGAUGAUGAGCACGCCAAGAUCAAGAUUAUGAUGGUCAACGUGUCUUGUUUGAAGCACCACCGGCGGGUGACCGACUUCUUCAUGCUGUUGGAAAGGUGUGCUACUCCUAGUACCUCCAUGCCCUACACAAGCAUAUGUCGGCACUCCAGGAGGCAUGGAGGGUUAUGAAGAGUAGCAUGGUUGACCAACAUGUGUUGUAACUCACCGACAAGUCUCUAAUGUUCCAUGUCCACACGCAUGCGCCAUAGCGAUGAGAGGUGGGCGGAUGCCAAUAUGCUAGACGACACAAACCAUAUUGUCGAUUCUUAUUGUAUGAGGAAGCAAAUUCAGAAGAGUGUUGGAAGCAAAAGCUAUUUAUUUGGAAGAAAAAAUAUGUCCUCUGUAGGAAGCAUUGAUGUUAGAAACACAUAUUUGUAUCAUCCAAAGCAUAUACUACUUCCCCCGGAAUCAAAUUAUAUUCUCUUUGGAAACCAAUGUUGAUGGAAAAAAAUGUUUGUACAUUGGAAGCAAACAUUAUUGCUUUAUAAGCAAAUUAUAAAAUCUGUUGGAGAA